rnacentral:rRNA from 1 species
AUUGAACGCUGGCGGUAUGCCUAACACAUGCAAGUCGAACGGCAGCACAGUAAGAGCUUGCUCUUACGGGUGGCGAGUGGCGGACGGGUGAGGAAUACAUCGGAAUCUACUUUUUCGUGGGGGAUAACGUAGGGAAACUUACGCUAAUACCGCAUACGACCUACGGGUGAAAGCAGGGGAUCUUCGGACCUUGCGCGAUUGAAUGAGCCGAUGUCGGAUUAGCUAGUUGGCGGGGUAAAGGCCCACCAAGGCGACGAUCCGUAGCUGGUCUGAGAGGAUGAUCAGCCACACUGGAACUGAGACACGGUCCAGACUCCUACGGGAGGCAGCAGUGGGGAAUAUUGGACAAUGGGCGCAAGCCUGAUCCAGCCAUACCGCGUGGGUGAAGAAGGCCUUCGGGUUGUAAAGCCCUUUUGUUGGGAAAGAAAAGCAGCAGGUUAAUACCCCGCUGUUCUGACGGUACCCAAAGAAUAAGCACCGGCUAACUUCGUG